rnacentral:rRNA from 1 species
UACAGAGGGUGCGAGCGUUGUCCGGAAUCACUGGGCGUAAAGGGCGCGUAGGUGGCGGCCCAAGUCCAUGGUGAAAGCUCGAUGCUCAACAUCGAGUCGGCCACGGAUACUGGGUUGCUUGAGCACUGUAGGGGCAGAUGGAAUUCCGGGUGUAGCGGUGGAAUGCGUAGGGAUCCGGAAGAACACCGGUGGCGAAGGCGGUCUGCUGGGCAGUUGCUGACACUGAGGCGCGACAGCGUGGGGAGCAAACAGG